CGUAAGAACAUUGAGAGGAGCCUUCCUUAGUACGAGAGGACCGGGAAGGACGCACCGCUGGUGUACCAGUUAUCGUGCCAACGGUAGACGCUGGGUAGCCAAGUGCGGAGUGGAUAACCGCUGAAAGCAUCUAAGUGGGAAGCCCACCUCAAGAUGAGUGUUCUCAUGGAGUUAAUCCAGUAAGGUCACGGGAAGAAGACCCGUUGAUAGGUUCUAGGUGGAAGUACAGUAAUGUAUGUAGCCGAGGAAUACUAACAGACCGA
rnacentral:ncRNA from 1 species